UUCACACUGCUUUUUGUUUGAUUACUGAUGAGGAAGGUGAUUUUUCUGCUCAUGCAAAGUUAUUUAUAAUCGCCAACUGAAGAAAAGGCUGUUUAUACGUUUAUCUUGUUUUAUAGAUAAAAUUACUUAAUUUUGAUCAUUUUUUCAGAAAACAAAGCUCAGGUUUCAGAGAUGGACUGAACGUGAAAGCCACACAGGUUCAGUAACAGCGCGGGUUCACAUGGGCCGCCGCUCAAACUGAACACAGCGACGGAGCCCUCUGGAGAGCCUGCCGUGACCGUCUGCUGUCCUUCUAAAUGAAGUCAUUUUGAAGCGCUGCUGCGGCUCAGGAAGCGCCUACGGUCUGUGUAUCAUCUGCGGGGGACGGAGGCGACGAGAGGAGCCAACAGGAUAUUAAACAGGCCGAUGUCUAUCGCAGGGGGCACCGGACCAAACUCAUCUGGAAUAUUCUGCAAUCUGACCAGCACAUGUCCGCACAUCUUUCAAGAAUUUGGGGACAUUUCAAAACUCGUUAUAAAUUAAAAUUUUGGCUCUAAACAUGCUUUGAAAUUUUGUGAUAAUGCAAUGACAUUUAUACUACUUUUAAAAGUGAGAAAAUAAUUUUUGGGGUCAGAUUAGAGCUGCACGAUUAAUUGUUAAAAGAUCGCAAUCUCGACUCAAACACCCAUAUGAUCUUAUUCCUAAAUGACAAUGAUUCAGCUCUGUCUAAUAAACCUUUGACAAGUACGAUCACAGUAAACAUUCAGAUUGUAGAACUGGAAAAAAAGUUUAUAGUUCGGAUAUAAACACUGAUGUCUACAAUAGCGAUUAAAAUAGAGUAAACCACCUUUAGAAAAUAAAUUGACGCUUCAAAUAAAGAUUGUAUUACAUCAUUACACCAGUAGGAGUAGAAAGUGUUAAAAAUAUAUUUGUCACUAAAUCAUCAAUUCAAGAGAUUUGUUCAAAAACGCUGAUUCAACUAGUAAUGAAACAAAUGAAGUCUUUAUGAGUGAGUCAUUGAAUCAUUCAUUCAAGAGAUUUGUUCAAAAACACAGAUUCAUUCAGUAAUGAAACAAGGGAAGUCUUUAUGAGUGAGUCAUUGAAUCAUUCAUUCAAGAGAUUUGUUCAAAAACGCAGAUUCAUUCAGUAAUGAAACAAGGGAAGUCUUUAUGAGUGAGUCAUUGAAUCAUUCAUUCAAGAGAUUUGUUCAAAAACGCUGAUUCAUCUAGUAAUGAAAUAAAUGAAGUCUUUAUGAGUGAGUCAUUGAAUCAUUCAUUCAAGAGAUUCCUUCAAAAACGCAGAUUCAUUCAGUAAUGAAACAAGUGAAGUCUUUAUGAGUGAGUCAUUGAAUCAUUCAUUCAAGAGAUUUGUUCAAAAACGCUGAUUCAUCUAGUAAUGAAAUAAAUGAAGUCUUUAUGAGUGAGUCAUUGAAUCAUUCAUUCAAUUGAUUCAUUCAAAAAUGCUGAUUCAUCCAGUAACUAGUCUUUAGGUGUGCUUGACUUGAAGCGGUGCUUCGCAGACCGAUUGAUUUAUGACAUCAAAAUACUGCGAGAGCGAUUCAAAAGCAUACAGAGCUGUCUGCUCUCUAAACGAUUUUGCGGUACUUUGAUGUCAUACACCGAAUGGCCCGCGGAGUGACGCUUUAAGUUGAACACACCUUUUAUGAGUGAGUCAAUGAAUCAUUCAUUCAAGAGAUUCAUUCAAAAACACUGAUUCAUCCAGUAAUGAAACAAAUGAAGCCUUUUUGAGUGAGUCAUUGAAUCAUUCAUUCAAACUGAUUUUUUUAAAACAAUUUAAAUUAAUUAAAUUAUUAUUAUUUUUUUUAAAUAACAUUUUGUCAGAACUCUAGUAAAUGAUGUUAUUUUAAUUUUGUUUCAAUUCACCCAGAAUCGUGCAGCUCAAGGUCACAUUAUAGACAUAAACUUAAGUUUGUACACAUGAAACAAAAGCUGUAGUCUUUUAAUUUGUCUGUUUUUUUUUUAAAGGAUGCAUUAAUUUGAUCAAAAGUGACAGUAAAAACCUUUAUAAUAUUACAAAAUAUUUA